ensembl:scaRNA
CCUGGAGGACUAAGAAGGCUGAGUCUGAUGAAGUAAGACUCUGCCGAUACCAUCCUCCUAGAAAAACGGGUUGCAGAGAGCAGCCCUCCCUGGAGAGCUCAGAGGGCUGACUGUACCACCCAACAUUC